rnacentral:rRNA from 1 species
AUUGAACACUGGCGGCAUGCUUUACACAUGCAAGUCGAACGGUAACAGGUUAAGCUGACGAGUGGCGAACGGGUGAGUAAUGCAUCGGAACGUGCCCGAUCGUGGGGGAUAACGCAGCGAAAGCUGCGCUAAUACCGCAUACGAUCUGAGGAUGAAAGCGGGGGACCGUAAGGCCUCGCGCGAUCGGAGCGGCCGAUGUCAGAUUAGGUAGUUGGUGGGGUAAAGGCCCACCAAGCCGACGAUCUGUAGCUGGUCUGAGAGGACGACCAGCCACACUGGGACUGAGACACGGCCCAGACUCCUACGGGAGGCAGCAGUGGGGAAUUUUGGACAAUGGGCGAAAGCCUGAUCCAGCAAUGCCGCGUGCAGGAAGAAGGCCUUCGGGUUGUAAACUGCUUUUGUACGGAGCGAAAAGGUCCUUUCUAAUACAGGGGGCUCAUGGUGGUACCGUAAGAAUAAGCACCGGCUAACUACGUGCCAGCCGCCGCCGUAA